CGCGUAGGCGGCGCAUCAAGUCAGGCGUGAAAGCCCUGGGCUCAACCCGGGAAUUGCGCUUGAUACUGAUGUGCUUGAGUACGGGAGAGAUAGUGGAAUUCCCAGUGUAGAGGUGAAAUUCGUAGAUAUUGGGAAGAACACCGGUGGCGAAGGCGGCUAUCUGGACCGUAACUGACGCUGAUGCGCGAAAGCGUGGGGAGCAAACAGGAUUAGAUACCCUGGUAGUCCACGCCGUAAACGAUGAGUGCUAGACGUUGGGGCUCUUAGAGCUUCGGUGUCGCCGCUAACGCAUUAAGCACUCCGCCUGGGGAGUACGGCCGCAAGGUUAAA
rnacentral:rRNA from 1 species